UUAAGCGACUAAGCGUACACGGUGGAUGCCCUGGCAGUCAGAGGCGAUGAAGGACGUGCUAAUCUGCGAAAAGCGUCGGUAAGGUGAUAUGAACCGUUAUAACCGGCGAUGUCCGAAUGGGGAAACCCAGUGCAAUUCGUUGCACUAUCGUUAACUGAAUACAUAGGUUAACGAGGCGAACCGGGGGAACUGAAACAUCUAAGUACCCCGAGGAAAAGAAAUCAACCGAGAUUCCCCCAGUAGCGGCGAGCGAACGGGGAGCAGCCCAGAGUCUGAAUCAGCUUGUGUGUUAGUGGAACGGUCUGGAAAGUCCGACGGUACAGGGUGAUAGUCCCGUACACCAAAAUGCACAGGUUGUGAACUCGAAGAGUAGGGCGGGACACGUGGUAUCCUGUCUGAAUAUGGGGGGACCAUCCUCCAAGGCUAAAUACUCCUGACUGACCGAUAGUGAACCAGUACCGUGAGGGAAAGGCGAAAAGAACCCCGGCGAGGGGAGUGAAAAAGAACCUGAAACCGUGUACGUACAAGCAGUGGGAGCACCUUCGGGUGUGACUGCGUACCUUUUGUAUAAUGGGUCAGCGACUUAUAUUCUGUAGCAAGGUUAACCGUAUAGGGGAGCCGCAGGGAAACCGAGUCUUAACUGGGCGUUAAGUUGCAGGGUAUAGACCCGAAACCCGGUGAUCUAGCCAUGGGCAGGUUGAAGGUUGGGUAACACUAACUGGAGGACCGAACCGACUAAUGUUGAAAAAUUAGCGGAUGACUUGUGGCUGGGGGUGAAAGGCCAAUCAAACCGGGAGAUAGCUGGUUCUCCCCGAAAGCUAUUUAGGUAGCGCCUCGUGAAUUCAUCUUCGGGGGUAGAGCACUGUUUCGGCUAGGGGGUCAUCCCGACUUACCAACCCGAUGCAAACUACGAAUACCGAAGAAUGUUAUCACGGGAGACACACGGCGGGUGCUAACGUCCGUCGUGAAGAGGGAAACAACCCAGACCGCCAGCUAAGGUCCCAAAGUCAUGGUUAAGUGGGAAACGAUGUGGGAAGGCACAGACAGCCAGGAUGUUGGCUUAGAAGCAGCCAUCAUUUAAAGAAAGCGUAAUAGCUCACUGGUCGAGUCGGCCUGCGCGGAAGAUGUAACGGGGCUAAACCAUGCACCGAAGCUGCGGCAGCGACACUAUGUGUUGUUGGGUAGGGGAGCGUUCUGUAAGCCUGCGAAGGUGUGCUGUGAGGCAUGCUGGAGGUAUCAGAAGUGCGAAUGCUGACAUAAGUAACGAUAAAGCGGGUGAAAAGCCCGCUCGCCGGAAGACCAAGGGUUCCUGUCCAACGUUAAUCGGGGCAGGGUGAGUCGACCCCUAAGGCGAGGCCGAAAGGCGUAGUCGAUGGGAAACAGGUUAAUAUUCCUGUACUUGGUGUUACUGCGAAGGGGGGACGGAGAAGGCUAUGUUAGCCGGGCGACGGUUGUCCCGGUUUAAGCAUGUAGGCUGGUUAUCCAGGCAAAUCCGGAUAAUCAAGGCUGAGGUGUGAUGACGAGGCACUACGGUGCUGAAGUAACAAAUGCCCUGCUUCCAGGAAAAGCCUCUAAGCAUCAGGUAACAUCAAAUCGUACCCCAAACCGACACAGGUGGUCAGGUAGAGAAUACCAAGGCGCUUGAGAGAACUCGGGUGAAGGAACUAGGCAAAAUGGUGCCGUAACUUCGGGAGAAGGCACGCUGGUGUGUAGGUGAAGUCCCUGCGGAUGGAGCUGAGACCAGUCGAAGAUACCAGCUGGCUGCAACUGUUUAUUAAAAACACAGCACUGUGCAAACACGAAAGUGGACGUAUACGGUGUGACGCCUGCCCGGUGCCGGAAGGUUAAUUGAUGGGGUUAUCCGUAAGGAGAAGCUCUUGAUCGAAGCCCCGGUAAACGGCGGCCGUAACUAUAACGGUCCUAAGGUAGCGAAAUUCCUUGUCGGGUAAGUUCCGACCUGCACGAAUGGCGUAAUGAUGGCCAGGCUGUCUCCACCCGAGACUCAGUGAAAUUGAACUCGCUGUGAAGAUGCAGUGUACCCGCGGCAAGACGGAAAGACCCCGUGAACCUUUACUAUAGCUUGACACUGAACAUUGAGCCUUGAUGUGUAGGAUAGGUGGGAGGCUUUGAAGCGUGGACGCCAGUCUGCGUGGAGCCAACCUUGAAAUACCACCCUUUAAUGUUUGAUGUUCUAACGUUGGCCCCUUACCGGGGUUGCGGACAGUGUCUGGUGGGUAGUUUGACUGGGGCGGUCUCCUCCCAAAGCGUAACGGAGGAGCACGAAGGUUAGCUAAUCCUGGUCGGACAUCAGGAGGUUAGUGCAAUGGCAUAAGCUAGCUUGACUGCGAGCGUGACGGCGCGAGCAGGUGCGAAAGCAGGUCAUAGUGAUCCGGUGGUUCUGAAUGGAAGGGCCAUCGCUCAACGGAUAAAAGGUACUCCGGGGAUAACAGGCUGAUACCGCCCAAGAGUUCAUAUCGACGGCGGUGUUUGGCACCUCGAUGUCGGCUCAUCACAUCCUGGGGCUGAAGUAGGUCCCAAGGGUAUGGCUGUUCGCCAUUUAAAGUGGUACGCGAGCUGGGUUUAGAACGUCGUGAGACAGUUCGGUCCCUAUCUGCCGUGGGCGCUGGAGAAUUGAGGGGGGCUGCUCCUAGUACGAGAGGACCGGAGUGGACGCAUCACUGGUGUUCGGGUUGUCAUGCCAAUGGCACUGCCCGGUAGCUAAAUGCGGAAGAGAUAAGUGCUGAAAGCAUCUAAGCACGAAACUUGCCCCGAGAUGAGUUCUCCCUGAGACUUUAAGUCUCCUGAAGGAACGUUGAAGACGACGACGUUGAUAGGCCGGGUGUGUAAGCGCAGCGAUGCGUUGAGCUAACCGGUACUAAUGAACCGUGAGGCUUAACCUU
rnacentral:rRNA from 1 species